rnacentral:tRNA from 1 species
GAGCCUGCCUGGGGUAAUGAGAACUGCUAAUUCCUCACAUCCAUGGUUCGAUUCCAUGGUUUGCUCA